GACGAACGCUGGCGGCGUGCUUAACACAUGCAAGUCGAACGGAAAGGCCUGCUUUCCCUUGUGGAUUGCGGGUACUCGAGUGGCGAACGGGUGAGUAGCACGUGAGUGAUCUGCCCCCAACUUGGGUAUAAGCCUGGGAAACUGGGUCUAAUUCCCGAUAGGACUGCAGGGUGGUGCCUGUGGUGGAAAACGAUUUUCUAGUGGUUGGGGAUGAGCUCGCGGCCUAUCAGCUUGUUGGUGGGGUAAUGGCCUACCAAGGCGGCGACGGGUAGCCGGCCUGGGAGGGUGGACGGCCACAUUGGGACUGAGAUACGGCCCAGAAGACUACGGGAGGAAGCAGUGGGGAAUAUUGCACAAUGGGCGGAAGCCUGAUGCAGCGACGCCGCGUGGGGGAUGACGGCCUUCGGGUUGUAAACUCCUUUCGACCGCGAGGAAGCCACCUGGUUGGAAGGGUGGUGACGGUAGUGGUAGAAGAAGCACCGGCUAACUACGUG
rnacentral:rRNA from 1 species